UACGUAGAUGGCGAGCGUUAUCCGGAUUUAUUGGGCGUAAAGGGAACGCAGGCGGUCUUUUAAGUCUGAUGUGAAAGCCUUCGGCUUAACCGGAGUAGUGCAUUGGAAACUGGGAGACUUGAGUGCAGAAGAGGAGAGUGGAACUCCAUGUGUAGCGGUGAAAUGCGUAGAUAUAUGGAAGAACACCAGUGGCGAAAGCGGCUCUCUGGUCUGUAACUGACGCUGAGGUUCGAAAGCGUGGGUAGCAAACAGG
rnacentral:rRNA from 1 species